GCAUCGAUGAAGAACGCAGCUAAACGCGAUAUUCAAUGGGAAUUGCAGAAGCAUGAGACUCAUCAGGUCGUCGAACGCAUUUGCGGGUCAGGCUCGCCUGAACCCAUCGGCUGUAGAGUGUCGCUUAAAAAUCUAAUCCCUACUGGUUGAUUUGGCGAUACUUCGGUAUGGUUAAUGAGAUUGGAAGGUGGAUUUGGCUGUGGCCUUGAAAGGGGACUCGGUUGAAGUACAGGGCUUUCUAGCCUUGAGCGCAAUCCGUUGCGGUCACGUGGGACUUGUCUUACAACGGCCACAUUGAUUGUGUAUUACUUCUUAACGACCUCUGCAGUUGAAGAUCUACGCGCUGAACUUAAGCAUAUCAAUAAGCGGAGGAA
rnacentral:rRNA from 1 species